UACGGGGGGAGCAAGCGUUGUUCGGAUUUACUGGGCGUAAAGGGCGCGUAGGCGGCCACCGCAAGUCAAUUGUGAAAUCUCCGGGCUUAACUCGGAAAGGUCAACUGAUACUGCGGGGCUAGAGUGCGGAAGGGGCAACUGGAAUUCUCGGUGUAGCGGUGAAAUGCGUAGAUAUCGAGAGGAACACCGGUGGCGAAGGCGGGUCUCUGGGCUGAUACUGACGCUGAGGCGCGAAAGCCAGGGGAGCGAACGGG
rnacentral:rRNA from 1 species